AGGCCAGUUAGUAAUCCUAUGAUGGCCUCUAAGUGUUCAAGUACAAGGAAGAGUCAUUCAUCUUUGACUUUAAAUCAAAAGCUAGAAAUGUUUAAGGGUGGUGAGGAAGGCAUGCCAAAAGUCAAGACAGGCCAAAAGCUAGACUUCUUGCUCCAAACAGUUAGCCAAGUUGUAAAUUCAAAGGAGAAGUUCUUGAAGGAAAUUAAAAGUGAAACUCCAGUGAACAUAUGAACGAUAAGAAAGUCAAAUAGCCUUAUUGCUGACAUGGAGAAAGUUUUAGUGGUCUUGACAGAAGAUCAGCCACAACAUUCUCUUAAGCCAAAGCCUAGUCCAGAGCAAGUGUCUCUCCUCAAUUCUAUGAAAGCUGAGAGAGGUAAAGAAGCUGAGAAAAAAAAUGUUUGAAGUUAGUAGAGGUUGGUCCGUGAGGUUUAGGGAAAGAAACCAUCUCCAUAACAUAAAAGUACAAGAUGAGGCUGGGUGCGGUGGCUCACACCUGUAAUCGCAGCACUUUGGGAGGCCGAGGUGGGCAGAUCACCUGAGGUCAGGAGUUUGAGACUAGCCUGGCCAACAUGGUGAAACCCCAUCUCUACUAAAAAUACAAAAAUUAGCUGGAUGUGGUGGCAGCCACCUGUAGUCCCAGCUACUCAGGAGGCUGAGUCUGGAGAAUCGCUUGAACCUGGGAGAUGGAGGUUGCAGUGAGCUGAGUGCACCAUGCACUCCAGCCUGGGUUGCAGAGCAAGACUCCGUCUCAAAAAAAAAAAAAAAAAAAAGGUGAAGCAGCAGCAAGUGCCAAAGUAGAAGAUGCACUAAGUUAUCCAGAAGAUCUAAUUAAGAUCAGUAAUGGAAGUGGCUACACUAAACAACAGAUUUUCAAUGGCGACAGAACAGCCUUCUGUUGAAAGAAGAUGGUGUCUGGGACUUUCAUAACUAGACAGGAGUCAAUGUCUGUCUUCAAAGUGUCAAAGGAUAGGCUAACUUUCCUGUUAGGGUCUAUUGCAGCUGGUGACUUUGAGUUGAAGACAAUGCUCAUUUGUCACUUUGAAAAUUCUAAGCCCCUUAAGAAUUAUGCUAAAUCAACUCUGCCUGUGCUCUAUAAAUGGAUGACAGCACUUCUGUUUACAGCAUGGUUUACUAAAUAUUUUAAGCCCAGUGAUGAGAUCUACUGCUCAGAAAAAAAGAUUCCUUUCAAAAUAUUACUGCUUAUUGAUAAUGCACCUGGUCACCCAAAAGGUCUGAUGGAGAUGUGCAGGACGACAAAUGUUGUUUUCAUGCAUUCAUUCUGCAGCCCAUGGAUCAAGAAGUAAUUUCGACUUUCAAGUCUUACUCUUGAAGAAAUACAUUUUGUAAGACUAUAGCUGCCAUAGAUGGUGACUCUUCUAAUGGAUCUGGGCAAAGUAUAUUGAAAACCUUCUGGGAAGGAUUCACCAUUCUAGAUGCGAUUAAGAGCAUUGGUGAUUAACGGGAGAAUAUCAACAUUAACAGGAGUUUGGAAGAAGUUGAUUCCCAUCCCCAUGAAUGACUUCGAAGGUUUCAAGAUUCAGUGAAGGAAGUAACUGUAGAUGUGGUGGAAAUAGCAAGAGAACUAGAAUUAUAAGUGGAGCCUGAAGACGGGACUGAAUUGUUGCAAUCUCAUGAUAAAACUUGAGCAAAUCAAGAGCUGCUUCUUAUGGAUGAGCAAAGCAAGUGGUCUCUUGAGAUAAAAUCUAUUCCUGGUGAAGAUGUUGUGAACAUUGUUGAGAUGAUGACAAAGGAUUUAGAAUAACCCAUAAACUUAAUUGAUAAAGCAGCAGCAGGGUUUGAGAGGAUUGAAUCCAGUUUUGAAAGAAAUUCUACUGAGACUAAAAUGCUGUCAAACAGCAUCGCAUGCUACAGAGAAGUCUUUCAUGAAAGGAAGAAUCAAUCUAUGUGACAAACUUCAUUAUUGUCUUACUAUGAUUAGGUUGUCUUACAGCCACCCCAACCUUCAGCAACCACUGCUGACCAUGUUGAUCGGUCAGCAGCCAUCAACAUCAAGGCAAGACACUCCACCAGCAAAAGAUGAUGACUUGCUGAAGGCUCAGAUGUUUCUUAGCAUUUUUUAGCCAUAAUGUAUUUUAAAAUUAAGGUUUCUACUUUUUUUUUUAAAAUACAUAAUGCUCUUGUACUCCGAAUAGAACUGAAGUCCCACUGCUAAAUUUGACUGGCUUAAAAAAAUACACUACAGUAUAGUGUAAACAUAAAUUUUAUAUACAGUGGGAAACCAAAAUAUUGUAUGACUCCCUUUACUAUAAUAUUCAUUUUAUUGGGGUAGUCUGGAACCAAACCGACAAGAUCUCUGUAUAAUUUAUUUGUAUAGGAGAGAAAAACACACAUUUGGAGUUCACAUUGCUCAAUAUAUUUCUCUAAACAAAAUUCUGUCCAGUUGAAAACUUAUUAGCCUUUUAAGAGAGUCUUGUUCUGCAGUUGAUCCAUACUCACAAAUUUCAUUGAAUUCUUUGUAAAAUCUGCACAAAAAAUUACUAGAAUCAGAAUCUUAGAAAUUAUGCAUAUCUAAAGUAAAUUUAAUUUUUGGAGGGUGUUCAUUUGGAAAGAUCAGGGAGAUUAAAGGAGAAAAAUUAUUACAUACAAGAGGAAAUAAUCUUACUUUCUGGGUGAACUAUUUUUCUGCAUGAUCAAUUUCUCUUUUUAGGAGUUUGGCUAAAAUGAAUUAUGAAUUUUAGGCUUUAAGUAAUAUCCAGUUUGCUUUCAAAUAUCUCUCUCACACGCACACAUAUGCAGAGCACACUUUUAAUUUUCAAGUCUUUAUUAAUGAUUCCAACGCAUGCAAGAUAUGAAAAUAUUUAGAAAAGGCUAGUAGAAUAUAUGUUGUUUAUUUUAUGAACUACAGUAAGGCAGUUCAUUAGCAAAAUGUAAAAGCAAAUAGAAUACUAUGAGACAAAUGGGUCACCUUGGUACAUCUAGAGAAUUCUAAGAGGACAGAGUUAAAUUUAUCUGAAUCUACUUUGUAAUUGAAAAGUGUUAUAAUGCAAUAAGAAAAUAUAUCAACAAGUUGUAAUUUCUCCUACCUUAAAAACAGCAAAAACAAUAAAAAAAAA
rnacentral:lncRNA from 1 species